rnacentral:rRNA from 1 species
GUCCACGCCGUAACGAUGGAUACUAGCUGUUGGAGCAAUCUCAGUGGCUAAGCGAAGUGAUAAGUAUCCCACCUGGGAGUACGUUCGCAAGAAUGAACUCAAGGAAUUGACGGGCCCGCACAAGCGGUGGAGCAUGUGGUUAAUUCGAUGAUACGCGAGGAACCUUACCAAGGCUUAAAUGUAGAUUGACAGAUUUGGAAACAGAUUUCUUCGGACAAUUUACAAGGUGCUGCAUGGUUGUCGU